rnacentral:rRNA from 1 species
AUUGAACGCUGGCGGCAGGCCUAACACAUGCAAGUCGAGCGGAUGAAGGGAGCUUGCUCCUGGAUUCAGCGGCGGACGGGUGAGUAAUGCCUAGGAAUCUGCCUGGUAGUGGGGGAUAACGUCCGGAAACGGGCGCUAAUACCGCAUACGUCCUGAGGGAGAAAGUGGGGGAUCUUCGGACCUCACGCUAUCAGAUGAGCCUAGGUCGGAUUAGCUAGUUGGUGGGGUAAAGGCCUACCAAGGCGACGAUCCGUAACUGGUCUGAGAGGAUGAUCAGUCACACUGGAACUGAGACACGGUCCAGACGCCUACGGGAGGCAGCAGUGGGGUAUAGUGGACAAUGGGCGAAAGCCUGAUCCAGCCAUGCCGCGUGUGUGAAGAAGGUCUUCGGAUUGUAAAGCACUUUAAGUUGGGAGGAAGGGCAGUAAGUUAAUACCUUGCUGUUUUGACGUUACCAACAGAAUAAGCACCGGCUAACUUCGUG